rnacentral:rRNA from 1 species
GACGAACCGUGCGAACGUUAUUCGGAAUCACUGGGCUUAAAGCGCGUGUAGGCGGGCCGGCACGUCGACGGCUGAAAGCCCCCGGCUCAACCGGGGAAUGGGCCUCGAUACGACCGGCCUGGAGGGGCGUAGGGGGACCGGGAACUUCCGGUGGAGCGGUGAAAUGCGUAGAUAUCGGAAGGAACACCAGUGGCGAAAGCGGCUUCCUGGUCCAGCACCGACGUUCAGGCACGAAAGCGUGGGGAGCAAACAGG